rnacentral:rRNA from 1 species
CGGACGGAAGUUUUCGGAUGGAAGCCUGUAAUUCUUAGUGGCGGACGGGUGAGUAACGCGUGGGCAACCUGCCCUAUACAGGGGGAUAGCAGCUGGAAACGGCUGGUAAGACCGCAUAAGUCGGUUAAAUCGCAUGAUUUGAUCGGGAAGUGAGCAAUCAGGUAUAGGAUGGGCCCGCGUCCGAUUAGCCAGUUGGCAGGGUAAAAGCCUACCAAAGCGACGAUCGGUAGCCGGACUGAGAGGUCGGACGGCCACAUUGGGACUGAGACACGGCCCAAACUCCUACGGGAGGCAGCAGUGGGGGAUAUUGCACAAUGGAGGAAACUCUGAUGCAGCGACGCCGCGUGAGUGAAGAAGUAUUUCGGUAUGUAAAGCUCUAUCAGCAGGGAAGAUGAUGACGUACCUGACUAAGAG